UUACCUAAAUGGCAGGGGAAAUACUAUGAUUACAAAGUUGGUUUUCUCAGGGCAAUGGUUUUCCAUUGCACUCCAGAUGUGAUCACUCUGUGAUUUUCCCACAUGUGGGAAACCUGUCAGCAUAAUUUGUGGAAGGGGGAGACUGAGGUCACACUUUCCCCUA